rnacentral:rRNA from 1 species
UACGGAGGGGGCAAGCGUUGUUCGGAAUUAUUGGGCGUAAAGGGCUCGUAGGCGGUCUGUCGCGUCGGGAGUGAAAACUCAGGGCUUAACCCUGAGCCUGCUUCCGAUACGGGCAGACUAGAGGUAUGCAGGGGAGAACGGAAUUCCUGGUGUAGCGGUGAAAUGCGCAGAUAUCAGGAAGAACACCCGUGGCGAAGGCGGUUCUCUGGGACGGUACUGACGCUGAGACGCGAAAGCGUGGGGAGCGAACAGG